rnacentral:rRNA from 1 species
AUUGAACGCUGGCGGCAGGCUUAACACAUGCACGUCGAGUGAGCGGCGGACGGGUGAGUAAUGUCUGGGAAACUGCCUGAUGGCGGGGGAUAACUACUGGAAACGGUAGCUAAUACCGCAUACCAUCAGAUGUGCCCAGAUGGGAUUAGCGAGUAGGUGGGGUAAUGGCUCACGUAGGCGACGAUCCCUAGCUGGUCUGAGAGGAUGACCAGCGACACUGGGACGGAGAUACGGUCCAGACUCCUAGGGUAGGCAGCAGUGGUGAAUAUUGCACGAUGGGCGCAAGCCUGAUGCAGCCAUGCCACGUGUGUGAAGAAGGCCUUCGGGUUGUAAGGCACGUUCAGCGAGGAGGCGUUACUCGCAGAAGAAGCACCGGCUAACACCGUGCCAGCCACCGCGGUAAUAC